ACGAAGAGUUUGAUCCUGGCUCAGGAUGAACGCUAGCGGGAGGCUUAAUACAUGCAAGUCGAGGGGUAACAGGGAAGCUUGCUUCUGCUGACGACCGGCGCACGGGUGCGUAACGCGUAUACAAUCUACCUCAUGCUGAGGGAUAGCCCAGAGAAAUUUGGAUUAAUACCUCAUAGUAUUAUAAGAUGGCAUCAUCUAAUAAUUAAAGGUUACGGUAUGAGAUGAGUAUGCGUUCUAUUAGCUAGUUGGUAUGGUAACGGCAUACCAAGGCAACGAUAGAUAGGGGCCCUGAGAGGGGGAUCCCCCACACUGGUACUGAGACACGGACCAGACUCCUACGGGAGGCAGCAGUGAGGAAUAUUGGACAAUGGAGGCAACUCUGAACCAGCCAUGCCGCGUGCAGGAAGACUGCCCUAUGGGUUGUAAACUGCUUUUAUAUAGGAAGAAACCUUUCCACGUGUGGAGAGCUGACGGUACUAUAAGAAUAAGGAUCGGCUAACUCCGUGCCAGCAGCCGCGGUAAUACG
rnacentral:rRNA from 1 species